GAUGAAGAACGUAGCGAAAUGCGAUACGUAAUGUGAAUUGCAGAAUUCAGUGAAUCAUCGAAUCUUUGAACGCAUAUUGCGCUCUUUGGUAUUCCGAAGAGCAUGCUUGUUUGAGUAUCAGUAAACACCUCAAAGCUUUUGGAUUUUUUAAUCGAAAAGCUUUGGACUUGAGCAAUCCCAACACCAAUCUUUUUGAGAUCGGUGGCGGGUUGCUUGAAAUGCAGGUGCAGCUGGACAUUCUCCUGAGCUAAAAGCAUAUUCAUUUAGUCCCGUCAAACGGAUUAUUACUUUUGCUGCAGCUAACAUAAAGGGAGUUUGACCGUAUUGGCUGACUGAUGCAGGAUUUCACAAGGGUCGGCAACGAUUCUUGUUAAACUCGAUAUCAAAUCAAGUAAGACUACCCGCUGAACUUAAGCAUAUCAAUAAGCGGAGGA
rnacentral:misc_RNA from 1 species